CAGUAACUGGGUUGCCAAACCAGCAGAAAUUGAAUAUGUUGCAGUCUGGUGGUACUGGAACUAAAGGUGUUUAUUUGUAAAGUAAGCAAUACAGUAUCAAAAAUGCAAAUAUACAUAUAGAACAGGAGACCGGACAGUGCGGAGGGAAGACAUUUGCUUUGUGAUUCUGUUGCAGAAAUCUGGAGAUUUCGGAGUAAACAAGAUGACGACUGAUCCAGGGUUAUUCCAUGAGGGAACCAAUGUUUUUCAGAUAUUUUGGACAAUAGCGAGUGACACGUGGACAAGUACUGAUGAAGGCCUCGCAGUGAUUCAGACUGUCAGACAGAGUCUCGUCAACAAGACAAAAUCCAGAGGAGGGUCCUGUCCCGGAAGCCCUGCCGGAGGAGGCCGGUGAUCACCUGACACACCCACCGUCUGGGGAAUCUGCUGCCCAGACCCAGUCUGAAAUGCUGCUGCUCCCCACGUCUGCCCUGACCUGCUCUGAACACGUCACUGAAUACAACUCAUCCGGUUCUGAGAAGCUCUGACUCCAGAAACAAACUGCAGACCCUCAUCCUGAACAAGGGCGUUUGAUCACAGUUAUUGCACUGAAAAUGUCUUGUGUUGCCUGCUCAGACCCUCUGUCUGCCCCACUGAUGGUCGAUAAAAGAGUGAUAGUGAUGUGACCCCUGUGAUGUGUACUCCCCUCUGUCAGUGAUGAAAAUUACCCUUAACAGCCCAUAACCCUGGCCAUACCCCCACAAAGUGGCCUACUUAACACUCACACCACUCUUCUCCCCCUCCCCUUGGAGAGUCCUGCAUACCCAUUCCAUGGCCCUACCCCUAAACCUACCAACUUCAUCCUUCCUACACCCCUCCCCCCCCCCGCCCCCCGUAAACCUGCUCUCUCUCCACCAGGGGCCAUUCACCACACUUCACUAUCAAUUUUGGGUCCUCUUUCAACCCUUUCCCCCCUCCACUGCAAGGUCCUGCAGCCCCACCUCCCAGCCCUCCCUCUAAACCUAACCUCUCCAAACCCUUCUACACUUGCCCAUAAACCCGAGACCACUCCACAAUAGGGAGCUGUUCACCCCAGAUCAGCAGUUUAACACUACCUGCGCUACCCCACAAACAUCCCGAACCCUACCCUUCACCCUAAUCCUAACUUCCAAUGGACUGCCACCCACACUAAACUGGACAGCACCCCAAAUAACCCAAGUCACACCCCUACAAAGAGGCUUAUGUAACACUAGGCCCACCAACCCCUCUGGCAUCCCUAGUCCUUAGCCUACCCCUAAACCUAACAUCUUCAACCCUUCUACACACCCCCAUAAACCCAAGCCCUCUCCACAGCAGGGGGCCACAUUCACCCAACAUCACCAGCAGUUCAGUUCCUCUUUCAAACUUCCCUGCUACUGCAAAGCCCCAUACCAUUCCUGCCAACCCGCACUGCCAAUUCCCACCUUGACUUUCUUCUCCAUGAAACCUCCACCCCCAUUACCUAACUCUACCCUGGGUCCUGGCCCUCGCUCCACAUCCCCCAAAGAGUUACUGCACAACACCCAAAUCACAGCACCGAUUCCCUAUAUAAAACACCCCCAAGCUCUAACCAUAGGUAGUAACCCCAUCAUCAUAACCUAAACUCCAGAAUGGAGGUUAACGAGGGGCAAGAUCAAAAUACAGGCAAGUGGGGGACCUGGAUGAUGACAAUGUGGGUCAAAAACAAAGUAGCAGGGUGAAGUGAUCUCCAGUUCGAGAUCUACAAACACCAGAGGGAUAUUUUGCCCACUGCCCACAUAAUCACAUACUCAAAAUGGUGGCGAAACUCAUCAGCAGCAUCCAGGGAUUGAAGUAAUCAAGUCAAGUCACUUUUAUUGUCAUUUCAACCAUAACUGCUGGUACAGUGGAUAGUAAAAAUGAGACAAUGUUUUUCAGGACCAUGGUGUUACAUGACACAUUACAAAAAACUAGACUGAACUACAUAAUAAAAAAACAACACAGAAAGCUACACCAGACUACAGAUCUACACAGGACUGCAUAAAGUGCACAAAAACAGUGCAGGCAUUUACAAUAAAUAAUAAAGAGGACAGUAGAGCAAGGUGUCAGUCCAGGCUUCGGGUAUUGAGGAGUCUGAUAGCUUGGGGGAAGAAACUGUUACAUUGUCUGGUCGUGAGAGCCCGAAAGCUUUGGAGCCUUUUCCCAGAAGGCAGGAGGGAGAAGAGAUUGUAUGAGGGGUGCAUGGGGUCCUUCAUAAUGCUGUUUCCUUUGCAGAUGCAGCAUGUAGUGUAAAUGUCCAUGGUGGCAGGAAGAGAGACCCUGAUGAUCUUCUCAGCUGACCUCACUAUCCGCUGCAGGGUCUUGCAAUCCGAGAUGGUGCAAUUUCCGAACCAGGCAGUG